UGUGUGUGCGCAUUUUCAAGCAUGAGCGCCUUUUCACUGAGUUUGUUAAAGAGGAAGGGAGGCAGAAAGAUUCCCAGAAUGAUUUGAAUUCCUUCAGACUGUGACCUUCUGCCUGCCAUGUCAGAACGCCAUAUGCUCUGCGGACAAUGCGACAGGGACGGUGAGAGACAAUCGCUGGGUUUUUGUGCGGAGGUGGAGGGGGAGGUGAGGAGCGAGUCUUUGUAGCGAGGGCAAGCAUCCCAAAGAGACCCAAUGAAUAUAUGGUCUUCUGCAGCAUAUUGUGUGUGGGCGCUGAACACUCACAAUGUGUCAUUGGGAGGACACCUUACGUCAAAUGCUGGACAAUGAUGAGGAACACCCACAACUCUCUGUGGAGAUCCCCAGCGUUCAGUUAUUCUGAAAGGGAUGCAGCCACAUUUAUGUCUGUUUAUACUACUACCACUAAACUGCUUCAUCAUCCCAAUGUUCUCUCCAUGUCUCUGCAACAUGACUAUGGGAGUGUUAUCAUACUUACAGCACUGGUAUAUGUCUGCGAGGCGAUAAGUGUUCUCAAUGAUCACAUGCCAUUAGACUGGUAGAAAAUUGGAUUUUCCCUCUCCUUCCUCCACAGAAGAGAUUGCAUGAGUUUUCAUUGACAUGCAGCAUUAUAUCACUAUUUACUUUAUAAUUCAGAGCAGCUCUGUUGGUAUGACCAUAUAAAAAACAGUAUUGCUAAAGCACAUAUUACAAGAGGGUACCGUUUUAAAGAUGCUGAAACAUUUAAAUGCAUAAACCCUCUAUUUGUGACUGUGGUUAACCUUUUUACUUCCAUCUGGAUUGUGUCAAUUUUUGUCAAAAGUGAAUCAAUUUCAAACCAUGUUCAAUCUUUCUAACACCUGUGAAGAGGACGUAAUGAAAACUGCUCUAUGUAAAACAAAAAAAGUGACACCUGAAUUUAUCUGUCCUUAUUGAGUAGAGAUUAAAUUAAAAUUCAAAGGUUAUUGUCAUGAAAUAUACACAACUACGGUGGAAUUAUGUUAUGUAUGAAAAACGAUAUAGAAAAAGAGGUGCAAUAAACCCAACUCUUUUCUUGUA